AGGAUGAACGCUGGCGGCGCGCCUAAUACAUGCAAGUCGAGCGACGAAAGGAGAAGGGGUAACCCUUCUCCCUGAAAGCGGCGAACGGGUGAGUAACACGUGGGUAACGUGCCCCUGACUCUGGGAUAACAACGGGAAACCGUUGCUAAUACCGGAUAACCCAUACCUACCGCAUGGCGGGUAUGGCAAAGUUUUUCGGUCAGGGAUCGGCCCGCGUCCUAUCAGCUUGUUGGUGGGGUAACGCCUACCAAGGCGGUGACGGGUAGCUGGCGUGAGAGCGUGGCCAGCCACACUGGGACUGAGACACGGCCCAGACUCCUACGGGAGGCAGCAGUGGGAAUCUUGCGCAAUGGGCAAAGCCUGACGCAGCGACGCCGCGUGAGGGAUGAAUGCCUUCGGGUGUAAACCUCUUUCAGCAGGACGAAGCCUUCGGUGACGGUACCUGCAGAAGAAGCCCCGGCUAACUACGUGUCAGCAGCCGC
rnacentral:rRNA from 1 species